rnacentral:lncRNA from 1 species
GAGCUGGAUGACGGCGUCUGUAACCCGAUUUGGUCCAUGCGCGGCUUCUCUCAGACGUUCAACUUUUGGAGGGAGACGAAGCGGACGUCCAGCCUGCCGCUCAGCACCUACCUGACCUACGUGAUGCUGCCCUGGCAAACCAUCAUCAGUGAUAUCAUAGCAGAAGAGAACAGGCAAGAUCCGAUUUUAUCUUUUUAAAGUCGUCUGAGAUGCAACGGUCAUCGUCUAGUCAAGCUUCCACGCAAGUAUUUGUAUUUCUUCGCUACAUCUCUCUCCCUCUCCUCUUCCGUGUACCGUCAAUCGUAUGCACUUUUACUCUGAGCUCCUCCAUCACUCCAUCGAACUAUUGGAGCGUGCGAUAUUGACAACACAACGGUUAGCCUUACGGGCUAGCCCUCGAAGCCGACAGUUCAAUGCGCACAGUUUUACACGGGUGUGUGUGAGCUUUACCCCAGUUCUCUGCGCGACGUCAGUGCUUCAUACCAUAAGACCAACGUGCCUCAAGUGGCGAGCGCCCCUGAACGGAAAGGGUGGCAAAUUCAGAACGGUAAAGCAGACGGUUUCAUAUACCGAGUGCGUACCGCAUAGCGUCACGCACUGUGAGACUCUGUGAUUUAACGUGUAACCCGUAUUGGGGCAAGCUGAAAAGGGCCCAACAGGGAUCUGAAAUGCAUUAUCUCCCAUGGAGACUGUAGAAUGGUCUCAACAGGUGGCGCAUCCUUCAAACAGAUAUUCAAUCACCCAAUGAAGACGUGAUACAUGACGGGGUAUUGUCAAAGCUUCGCGUAUAAAUGAUGCUUUUUGACAAGUGAUUGGGUGAUCGGUGCCAUUGCGCUCAGCCUAGGCUCGUGAAACAAAUGUAUCGAUAUUUUGUAGCGCCACAGUCGGUCGUGCUUUUGUGAUAUUGGAUGGGCGUUAGGUGCAGAUAGUUGCUACAUGCAAUAGGUACAUUAAACCAUUGUGUGCUUCAUUUACCAUUUUAUGCUUCCUGCUUAUUUAUGCUACUUUUUAGGAGCAACUCAGUGGCAAUGUAUGUAUUCUUGUGGCUACUGAAAUUGUAUGUGCUAACGGCUACAUUCCUAUGUUAAAUAAUCGCAGUAUUUUUUGAUAUCGUGAUUAGAAUGGAUUUUAACAUAGUACAUUAAACAAGUGAAUAUUUGCAUAUGCCAGCACUUUUUAGGCACUUUAAUGUUUUCGGCUAAAGAUCCCUGAAUGUUUUCGGAAAUACCGCGUGCCAUUGUUAUGAAGUCCUACGCAAAACCGGGUCUAAGAUAUUGUGCAUUAAUAGCCUAAUAGAUAAUCUUUUAUGUAGCUUUUUAACAUUGUCGGGCUAGCUCAUUGAAUUAUUACGUUCCUUCAUUGUCUUUCGUGAUUUAGAUGCCGUAUAUUGUGUGCUGUCUACGUUGUUUUCUGUACGUGCUCUUAUUCUUGUUGUGUUUUCGUGUGCUACAUUUUUUGUGUGUAUCUGUAUCGGAUUUCUAGUUUUAGAGUCACCCCUCGUGGUCAAUGGUCAUGCCAUUGAACGUUAUGUGGGGUGGAAAAACACUUUUUUCCUAUACCGCUAGUUUGAAUAUGUGUAAUUGGUGUUCCGGCAUAUUUAUUCAUGUUUUAUGUCUUAUAUCAUUUAUAUUCCACUAUUUUAGUCAUAACGGGUGUACCUAUAUCCUUUUGAAUACAGGGUAUCUGGGUUCACAUUACGAAGUUAACUGAUACCGGCAUCAAUUAUGUUUUAAUGGUAAGUUUCUUCAGGCUCUGUAUAAUACAAAGUGCCUAUAGUG